GGUUUUCAACUUUGUUCUGUGGCGUGUGUUCUAGGAUUGCUCUGUGAAAAACAAAGCGUCUUCUGAAUUGAGACUGCCAGACACUGGGAAUGCCAGUUCAGGGGUGGAGAGAGGUGUGCUGCUUUUAGAUUUGGCUUAGUUUUGGGAAAGCCAAAGUACACCAGCCAUGAGAAGCUUUCAUCUUUGCCAUGCAGCACUGCAUUUGCGGUUGCUAUUGCCUUCUUUUCUGCAACAGCCUAGCAUCCUGCUCUUCACGUGGGAAUGACCUAGGCUAAAAUAUUGCAUUUGAGUUCAUAAGAAAAGAUAGCGCUGUAUAAAUUUGUCCAAAAUACUCCCUAUGUGAAGAGUUCUGCAUUAGAUCUAGUGAAUGGAGAAUAAUAGACAUUUCUAGGGGGCAGUACGUCCCAGCAGGGUACAUGAAAGAGAUCAGAAAUAGAAGACACGGGAGUACCACUCCAGGCACAAAACAUCACUUCAGCUAUGCGUAACUUGUUACGCAGUUUCAGUUACAUCCAGAAGACUCAACUAUGUCCGUGAGCUCACGCAGCACUAAAGAUGGUCUCCAUUCCAGGAACUGGGCCCCAUAAGUGAAACGUGUGCUAGCUGAUCUCAAACAAUCUGCUUGCUUACGGCUGCGAAUGAAGAACAACAUGCUUUCAGAUCCAACACAAACCAUGGUGUGCACCAACUCUCUCAAGACUCACCUGCAAGACCCAGAGCCUCGAACUUGGCAGUGGAGCCUCCUGUCAACAUCUGGUCCAAGCCAGGAGAGGAGCUCGUAUCCCUCAGCUGAUAGUGAUAAAUCUUC
rnacentral:lncRNA from 1 species